GAUGAACGCUAGCGGCAGGCUUAACACAUGCAAGUCGAACGGCAGCACGGGAGCAAUCCUGGUGGCGAGUGGCGAACGGGUGAGUAAUAUAUCGGAACGUGCCCAGUCGUGGGGAUAACGUAGCGAAAGCUACGCUAAUACCGCAUACGAUCUAUGGAUGAAAGCGGGGGAUCGCAAGACCUCGCGCGAUUGGAGCGGCCGAUAUCAGAUUAGGUAGUUGGUGAGGUAAAGGCUCACCAAGCCGACGAUCUGUAGCUGGUCUGAGAGGACGACCAGCCACACUGGGACUGAGACACGGCCCAGACUCCUACGGGAGGCAGCAGUGGGGAAUUUUGGACAAUGGGCGCAAGCCUGAUCCAGCAAUGCCGCGUGCAGGAUGAAGGCCU
rnacentral:rRNA from 1 species